AUAAAGAUCAAGUCACCAGGGCACAUAGCUACUGCCUUGGGAAAAUGUCUGAAUUAUCAACGAUCAAUCGUUUCCCCAUCAGUCACGGUCUCCUCCCAGAUCGGAGAGUGUGUUGGCUCUGCAACUGCGUGAGUUACCCCUUGGGCUGGCUGUUUGUUGCUUUCAUCUGAGGUGGUUUUUCUAGGAAAAGCAGAAGAGAAGAAAACAUGACCUCAAAGCUGGGUUGCUGAUGCUGGGCAAACCAUCACAUAUUGAGACAGAGGAAAUCUGGGAGUACAACCAGCUUGCAGUGUUUCAAGUCACCUAGUUUGAGAUUAAAGAAAUAAUGGAGCAGACGGGGAAAUACAUCAUUUGGAUAUCUGGACAGGACUUUCUGGAUGACCAGACGCAAAUCACCUGAGAAGAAGAUAAGAAUCUCUGGGAAGAUCCUGUGUCUGAGAUGAUUGUUUGUUUGUAAGACUGUCCCAUGCUGUGGGGCACCAUGAGUCUAGGUGAGUGCAGUUGCUUCGUACAAGGACUCUAUACAGCCUUGGGCUUAAGGUGAAAGGGAUGAACCCUCGAAUCUGUGCAUCGGCAACCAGAGGGCGUUCAAACUAUUUCACUGCCUUCUUGUAUCUCCACAGGAGGCCAAGGACAAUUGAGACUCUCUGUCUCCCAAAAAGGUCACCACUUUGACCAAUCUAAGCAGAU